rnacentral:rRNA from 1 species
GAUGAACGCUAGCGGCAGGCCUAAUACAUGCAAGUCGAACGGUGUCUUCGGACAUAGUGGCGCACGGGUGCGUAACACGUAUGCAACCUACCUUACAUUGGGGGAUAGCCUUUCGAAAGGGAGAUUAAUACCGCAUAAGACAGUAGCUGGGCAUCCAGCAGCUGUUAAAGAUUUAUCGAUGUAAGAUGGGCAUGCGUCCAAUUAGUUAGUUGGCGAGGUAACGGCUCACCAAGACUUUGAUUGGUAGGGGAACUGAGAGGUCAAUCCCCCACACUGGCACUGAGAUACGGGCCAGACUCCUACGGGAGGCAGCAGUAGGGAAUAUUGGGCAAUGGACGCAAGUCUGACCCAGCCAUGCCGCGUGCAGGAUGAAGGCGUUAUGCGUUGUAAACUGCUUUUAUACAGGAAGAAACGACUCUUGCGAGAGGCAUUGACGGUACUGUAUGAAUAAGCACCGGCUAACUCCGUGCCAGCCGCCGCCGUAACAC